UACGUAGGGUGCUAGCGUUGUUCGGAAUCAUUGGGCGUGAAGCGCGUGUAGGCGGUUAGAUUAGUCGGUUGUGAAAGCCCUAGGCUUAACCUGGGAAGUGCAUCCGAAACUGUCUGGCUAGAGAACGGUAGAGGAAGGUGGAAUUCCUAGUGUAGAGGUGAAAUUCGUAGAUAUUAGGAGGAAUACCGGUGGCGAAGGCGGCCUUCUGGGCCGAUUCUGACGCUGAGACGCGAAAGCGUGGGGAGCAAACAGG
rnacentral:rRNA from 1 species